rnacentral:rRNA from 1 species
AUGCAUGAUACACAGCGGGUCAAGAGGGAGGGAGGGAGGGUGGCACGUACCGAAGACGGUGUUGGUGGGGUUCAUGGCGACCUGGUUCUUGGCGGCGUCGCCGAUGAGGCGCUCGGUGUCGGUGAAGGCGACGUAGGAGGGCGUGGUGCGGUUGCCCUGGUCGUUGGCGAUGAUCUCGACGCGGUCAUGCUGCCACACGCCGACGCAGGAGUAGGUCGUCCCGAGGUCGAUGCCGAUCGCCGGCCCCUCGCCCUUGGCCAUCUCCGCCUCCUCUCCUCUCCUUGGAAUCGCUCGCUCGCUUUGGGGGUUCGCCGGAAGACGGUAACGGCGGCGCUCUCUGUGUUUCGCCUGGUGCGAUUUGCUUUGCCUCUCUUCUCUCUGAUUUCGAUUUCGAACGGAAGUGGGGAGGGAGGGCCGGCGACGGGAGGGUUUUAUGGCGGAGGCGGCCGGGUCUGGAAUGUUCCGGCGCGUGCGAUCCUGGCCGUCGGAUCGGGGGAGGGGUGA